AUAAGGGAAGGAUUGGUAAUGGGACUGGUGGAUAGAGGAAGGAUUGGUAAUGGGACUGGUGGAUAGGGGAAGGUUUGGUAAUGGGACUGGUGGAUAGGGGAAGGAUUGGUAAUGGGACUGGUGGAUAGGGGAAGGAUUGGUAAUGGGACUGGUGGAUAGUGGAAGGAUUGGUAAUGGGACUGGUGGAUAGGGGAAGGGUUGGUAAUGGGACAGGUGGAUAGGGGAAGGAUUGGUAAUGGGACAGGUGGAUAGGGGAAGGAUUGGUAAUGGGACUGGUGGAUAGGGGAAGGAUUGGUAAUGGGACAGGUGGAUAGGGGAAGGGUUGGUAAUGGGACUGGUGGAUAGGGGAAGGAUUGGUAAUGGGACAGGUGGAUAGGGGAAGGAUUGGUAAUGGGACUGGUGGAUAGGGGAAGGGUUGGUAAUGGGACAGGUGGAUAGGGGAAGGAUUGGUAAUGGGACAGGUGGAUAGGGGAAGGGUUGGUAAUGGGACAGGUGGAUAGGGGAAGGAUUGGUAAUGGGACUGGUGGAUAGGGGAAGGAUUGGUAAUGGGACUGGUUGAUAGGGGAAGGGUUGGUAAUGGGACUGGUGGAUAGGGGAAGGGUUGGUAAUGGGACUGGUGGAUAGGGGAAGGAUUGGUAAUGGGACUGGUGGAUAGGGGAAGGGUUGGUAAUGGGACUGGUGGAUAGGGGAAGGGUUGGUAAUGGGACUGGUGGAUAGGGGAAGGAUUGGUAAUGGGACUGGUGGAUAGGGGAAGGGUUGGUAAUGGGACUGGUGGAUAGGGGAAGGAUUGGUAAUGGGACUGGUGGAUAGGGGAAGGGUUGGUAAUGGGACUGGUGGAUAGGGGAAGGGUUGAUAAUGGGACUGGUGGAUAGGAGAAGGAUUGGUAAUGGGACUGGUGGAUAGGGGAAGGAUUGGUAAUGGGACUGGUGGAUAGGGGAAGAGUUGGUAAUGGGACUGGUGGAUAGGGGAAGGGUUGGUAAUGGGACUGGUGGAUAGGGGAAGGGUUGGUAAUGGGACUGAUGGAUAGCGGAAGGAUUGGUAAUGGGACUGGUGGAUAGGGGAAGGAUUGGUAAUGGGACUGGUGGAUAGGGGAAGGAUUGGUAAUGGGACUGGUGAAUAGGGGAAGGAUUGGUAAUGGGACUGGUGGAUAGGGGAAGGAUUGGUAAUGGGACUGGUGGAUAGAGGAAGGAUUGGUAAUGGGACUGGUGGAUAGGGGAAGGGUUGGUAAUGGGACUGGUGGAUAGGGGAAGGAUUGGUAAUGGGACUGGUGGAUAGGGGAAGGAUUGGUAAUGGGACUGGUGGAUAGGGGAAGGAUUGGUAAUGGGACUGGUGGAUAGGAGAAGGGUUGG